GAACGAACGCUGGCGGCGUGCCUAACACAUGCAAGUCGAGCGAGAAAGCCCGCAAGGGUGAGUAAAGCGGCGCACGGGUGAGUAACACGUGGGUAAUCUGCCCUAGAGUCCGGAAUAACUCGCCGAAAGGCGUGCUAAUGCCGGAUGAGACCACGGGAGCUCCGGCUCCUGCGGGAAAAGGUGGCCUCUGUACACAAGCUAUCACUCUAGGAUGAGCCCGCGGCCCAUCAGCUCGUUGGCGGGGUAACGGCCCACCAAGGCUACGACGGGUAGCUGGUCUGAGAGGACGAUCAGCCACACUGGAACUGAGACACGGUCCAGACUCCUACGGGAGGCAGCAGUGGGGAAUCUUGCGCAAUGGGCGAAAGCCUGACGCAGCAACGCCGCGUGUGUGAUGAAGGUCUUCGGAUCGUAAAGCACUGUCGCGAGGGACGAAUAAGGGGCGGGCCAACACCCCGUUCCGAUGACGGUACCUCGAGAGGAAGCACCGGCUAACUCUGUGCCAGCAGCCGCGGUAAUACAGAGGGUGCAAGCGUUGUUCGGAAUUAUUGGGCGUAAAGCGCGUGUAGGCGGCCUUGCAAGUUGGGUGUGAAAGCCCUCGGCUUAACCGAGGAAGUGCGCCCAAAACUACGAGGCUUGAGUGCCGGAGAGGGUGGCGGAAUUCCCGGUGUAGAGGUGAAAUUCGUAGAUAUCGGGAGGAACACCAGUGGCGAAGGCGGCCACCUGGACGGUAACUGACGCUGAGACGCGAAAGCGUGGGGAGCAAACAGGAUUAGAUACCCUGGUAGUCCACGCUGUAAACGAUGAGCGCUAGGUGUUGUGGGUGUUGACCCCCGCAGUGCCGCAGCUAACGCAUUAAGCGCUCCGCCUGGGAAGUACGGCCGCAAAGCUA
rnacentral:rRNA from 1 species